GUCAAAUCACGUUUAAACACCGCUUUCCGUACGAUCGCCGAAGUUAAGCAAAGUUGAUCGUUGUCAGUACUUAGAUGAGUGACCACUUAGAAAUACAGGG